UACGUAGGGGGCAAGCGUUGUCCGGAAUUAUUGGGCGUAAAGAGCGUGUAGGCGGUCCGGUAAGUCAGCUGUGAAAGUCAAGGGCUCAACCCUUGAAUGCCGGUUGAUACUGUCGGGCUAGAGUCCGGAAGAGGCGAGUGGAAUUCCCGGUGUAGCGGUGAAAUGCGCAGAUAUCGGGAGGAACACCAAUGGCGCAAGCGGCGCUCUGGGUCGAGCCUGACACUGAGACGCGAAGGCAUGGGGAGCGAACGGG
rnacentral:rRNA from 1 species